rnacentral:rRNA from 1 species
CUGCAGUCGCACGAGAAAGCGGGAGCAAUCUCGCAAGUAAAGUGGCGUACGGGUGAGUAACACGUGGGUAAUCUACCUUUUAGUGGGGAAUAACGCUGGGAAACCGGCGCUAAUACCGCAUAAUCUCGAGAGAGGAAAGCAGCAAUGCGCUGAAAGAGGAGCCCGCGGCCGAUUAGCUGGUUGGUAGGGUAAAAGCCUACCAAGGCAUAGAUCGGUAGCCGGCCUGAGAGGGCACACGGCCACACUGGCACUGAAACACGGGCCAGACUCCUACGGGAGGCAGCAGUGGGGAAUCUUGCACAAUGGGGGAAACCCUGAUGCAGCGACGCCGCGUGAGCGAUGAAGCCCUUCGGGGUGUAAAGCUCUUUCGGCAGGGACGAUAAUGACGGUACCUGCAGAAGCAGCUGCGGCUAACUACGUGCCAGCAGCCGCGGUAAUACGUAGGCAGAGAGCGUUGUUCGGAGUUACUGGGCGUAAAGGGUGAGUAGGCGGUUUUCUAAGUUUGGUGUGAAAUCUCCCGGCUCAACCGGGAGGGUGCGCCGAAAACUGGGAGACUAGAGUGCGGGAUGGGAGAGUAGAAUUCCUGGUGUAGCGGUGAAAUGCGUAGAUAUCAGGAGGAAUACCGGUGGUGUAGACGGCUCUCUGGACCGCCACUGACGCUGAAACACGAAAGCGUGGGUAGCAAACAGGAUUAGAUACCCUGGUAGUCCACGCCCUAAACGAUGCAUAUUUGGUGUAGGUCAUUCAGUUGAUCUGUGCCGGAGCUAACGCGUUAAAUAUGCCGCCUGGGGAGUACAGUCGCAAGGCUGAAACUCAAAGGAAUUGACGGGGGCCCGCACAAGCGGUGGAGC